UUUGACUGAAAAAUAUACAGUACAGGCCAAAAGUUUGGACACACUUUUUCAUUCAAUGCGUUUACUUUAUUUUCACGACUAUUUACAUUGUAGAUUCUCACUGAAGGCAUCAAAACUAUGAAUGAACACAUAUGGAAUUAUGUACUUAACAAAAAAGUGUGAAAUAACUGAAAACAUGUCUUAUAUUUUAGAUUCUUCAAAGUAGUCACGCUUUGCUUUUUUGAUAGCGCUGUAAACCCUUGGUGUUCUCUCAAUGAGCUUCAUGAGGUAGUCACCUGAAAUGGUUUUCACUUCACAGGUGUGCCUUGUCAGGGUUAAUUAGUGGAAUUUGUUCCCUUAUUAAUAAAAAAGCAAAGCGUGGCUACUUUGAAGAAUCUAAAAUAUAAGACAUGUUUUCAGAUAUUUCACACUUUUUUGUUAAGUACAUAAUUCCAUAUGUGUUCAUUCAUAGUUUUGAUGCCUUCAGUGAGAAUCUACAAUGUAAAUAGUCAUGAAAAUAAAAAGGAAACGCAUUGAAUGAGAAGGUGUGUCCAAACUUUUGGCCUGUACUGUAUGUGUGUAUGUGUGUGUG